rnacentral:lncRNA from 1 species
GUCAAGGUAUGAAGAUUAGAUCUUCUCUAUUUAUUUUUCUCUAUUUGAUUUCUGUAUCUAAAUCCUAUCUCAUAUAUGUAGAUCUUAUUUUAUGAUUUUAAGAUUUGAUCUUAUGUAUGCUUAGACUAAAUUAGAUUUAAUCUAAAUUUUUAAUUUUCACUGUGUACUUGUUUUAAAAUUUUUGCAUGCAUGAAACUAUGAAAUCCCAACAGCAGCAUGUGGCGAUGACAUC